AGGAUCAUUACCUAGAGUUGUAGGCUUUGCCUGCUAUCUCUUACCCAUGUCUUUUAAGUACCUUACGUUUCCUCGGCGGGUCCGCCCGCCGAUUGGACAAUUUAAACCAUUUGCAGUUGCAAUCAGCGUCUGAAAAAACUUAAUAGUUACAACUUUCAACAACGGAUCUCUUGGUUCUGGCAUCGAUGAAGAACGCAGCGAAAUGCGAUAAGUAGUGUGAAUUGCAGAAUUCAGUGAAUCAUCGAAUCUUUGAACGCACAUUGCGCCCCUUGGUAUUCCAUGGGGCAUGCCUGUUCGAGCGUCAUUUGUACCUUCAAGCUCUGCUUGGUGUUGGGUGUUUGUCUCGCCUCUGCGUGUAGACUCGCCUCAAAACAAUUGGCAGCCGGCGUAUUGAUUUCGGAGCGCAGUACAUCUCGCGCUUUGCACUCAUAACGACGACGUCCAAAAGUACAUUUUUACACUCUUGACCUCGGAUCAGGUAGGGAUACCCGCUGAACUUAAGCAUAUCAAUAACGG
rnacentral:rRNA from 1 species